AUGCGGCCGCCGUCGCCGCCGCGGCCGCUGGCCUUCCCGACGCUGGACUCGCUCGCGGCGUACCUCCGGCCGCGCCUCCCGGGCCCGGCGCUCGCCUCCUGGGGAUCCGCGCCGGGGACCAAGAACCUGCUCAACCUCUUCCUGGAGCUCUCCUGCGGCGACUGCACGCUCCUGCCCGCGGCCUCCUCCCCGCCGGCCCUCGUUGUGCGCGCCGUCCACGUCGCCACCGUGCGCAUCCGCAACCGCCGGGGCGCGCUCCUCGUGGAGACCCGGCAGCUGCUCUCCGACGGCACGCUCCGCCGCCGGGCCGCGCGGCCGCUCUCCGAGAAGAUGCGCCCCGGGGAGACCCCCGAGGCCGCCGCGGCCCGCGCCGUCGUCGAGGAGCUCGGCGAGCGCGCCCGCGUCCGGAUCCUGGGGGCGGCCCCGGAGCCGCGCGUGGAGGAGCGGGAGUCCGUUUCCUACCCGGGGCUCCCCGCCAGGUACGUGCUGCACGCGGUGGACGCGGAGCUCGUCGAGGGCGUCCCGGAGGAGGGCGAGUUCGACACGGAGGAGGCCGGCGAGGGCGAGGGCCACGACGGCGGCGGCGCGGCCAUCACCGUGAAGCGGCACUACUGGUCAUGGGUCGACGACGAGGAGGCCCGCGGCGAGGCCGCCCCGGCCGCCGUCGCCGGUGCGCAAUAG
rnacentral:rRNA from 1 species